rnacentral:rRNA from 1 species
GCGAACGCUGGCGGUAGGCCUAACACAUGCAAGUCGCACGGCAGCACAGUAAGAGCUUGCUCUUACGGGUGGCGAGUGGCGGACGGGUGAGGAAUACAUCGGAAUCUACUUUUUCGUGGGGGAUAACGUAGGGAAACUUACGCUAAUACCGCAUACGACCUACGGGUGAAAGCAGGGGAUCUUCGGACCUUGCGCGAUUGAAUGAGCCGAUGUCGGAUUAGCUAGUUGGCGGGGUAAAGGCCCACCAAGGCGACGAUCCGUAGCUGGUCUGAGAGGAUGAUCAGCCACACUGGAACUGAGACACGGUCCAGACUCCUACGGGAGGCAGCAGUGGGGAAUAUUGGACAAUGGGCGCAAGCCUGAUCCAGCCAUACCGCGUGGGUGAAGAAGGCCUUCGGGUUGUAAAGCCCUUUUGUUGGGAAAGAAAAGCAGCAGGUUAAUACCCCGCUGUUCUGACGGUACCCAAAGAAUAAGCACCGGCUAACUUCGUG